CAGACAUAGGUUAAAUGGUGAGACGCUGAAUUUGGGAUUCAGAGAAAGUUAGUUCGAUUCUAACAUGUCUGA
rnacentral:tRNA from 1 species